rnacentral:rRNA from 1 species
AUUGAACGCUGGCGGCAGGCCUAACACAUGCAAGUCGAACGAGUGGCGGACGGGUGAGUAAUGUCUGGGAAACUGCCUGAUGGAGGGGGAUAACUACUGGAAACGGUAGCUAAUACCGCAUACCAUCGGAUGUGCCCAGAUGGGAUUAGCUAGGAGGUGGGGGAAAGGCUCACCUAGGCGACGAUCCCUAGCUGGUCUGAGAGGAUGACCAGCCAAACUGGAACUGAGAGACUGUGCAGACGCCUACGGGAGGCAGCAGUGGUGAAUAUUGGACAAUGGGCGCAAGCCUGAUGCAGCCAUGCCGGGUGUAUGAAGAAGGUCUGCGGGUUGUAAAGUACUUUCAGCGGGGAGGCGUUACCCUCAGAAGAAGCACCGGCUAACUCCGUGCCAGCAGCCGCGGUAAUUC